rfam:Acinetobacter sp. ANC 4218 Contig21, whole genome shotgun sequence.
AGGCAAGAUGUGUAAUGUUGGCCAACAUGCAAGCAUGAUUAGCACACCAUUACCUCCUCUUAUUCGCUUUUCAAGCUCAACGUGGCAUCUUGUCCUGCGGAGCU